UAAUACGGAGGUUCCAAGCGUUGUUCGGAAUUACUGGGCGUAAAGGGAGCGCAGGCGGACAGGUCAGUUUAAAGUGGAAUCCCAGGGCUCAACCCUGGACGUGCUUUGGAUACUGCCUGUCUUGAGUUCGUGAGAGGAAAGUGGAAUUCAGGGUGUAGCGGUGAAAUGCUUAGAUAUCCUGAGGAACACCAGUGGCGAAAGCGACUUUCUGGCACGAAACUGACGCUGAGGCUCGAAAGCAUGGGUAGCGAACGGGAUUAGAUACCCCGGUAGUCCAUGCCGUAAACGUUGUAUACUAGGUGCGGGAGGUAUCGACCCCUUCCGUGCCGAAGCUAACGCAUUAAGUAUACCGCCUGGGGAGUACGCGCGCAAGCGU
rnacentral:rRNA from 1 species